UGGUGGAUUGAUUUGUCUGGUUAAUUCCGUUAACGAACGAGACCUUAACCUAUUAAAUAGUACAAUGAAUAGUAGUUUUCGGACUGCAAUAUUCAUUUUGUAACUUCUUAGAGGGACUCUUGGCAUACCUAGCCAAUGGAAGUUUGAGGCAAAAACA
rnacentral:rRNA from 1 species